rnacentral:rRNA from 1 species
UACAGAGGGUGCAAGCGUUGCUCGGAAUCAUUGGGCGUAAAGGGCAGGUAGGUGGUCUCGUUUGUCUGGGGUGAAAGCCCAGGGCUUAACCCUGGAAGUGCCCCGGAAACGGCGAGACUGGAGUCUUGGAGAGGGUCGUGGAAUUCCCGGUGUAGCGGUGAGAUGCGCAGAUAUCAGGAGGAACACCAAUGGCGAAGGCAGCACUCUGGGACGUGACUGACGCUGAGACGCGAAAGCGUGGGGAGCAAACAGG